GACGAACCGUGCGAACGUUGUUCGGAAUCACUGGGCUUAAAGGGCGCGUAGGCGGGCCGGACGGUCCGGGGUGAAAUCCCCCCGCUCAACGGGGGAACGGCUCCGGAUACCGCCGGCCUCGAGGGGGGUAGGGGCGAGCGGAACGCUGGGUGGAGCGGUGAAAUGCGUUGAUAUCCAGCGGAACUCCGGUGGCGAAGGCGGCUCGCUGGGCCCUCUCUGACGCUGAGGCGCGAAAGCCAGGGGAGCAAACGGG
rnacentral:rRNA from 1 species